UGAACCUCUGCCCAUUUGCUUCAUACAACGAAGUUUCAGAAAAGUGAGCAAAUCCAAUUUGGUGUCCAUACAAUUUGGAGCUCAGGGUACAAGACUGAUUCAUCAGGCUUCAACUCCCUACAGGGAGGGAGAAACACCUGAAGUGAGACUACGAACAGCCUCCUGCAGUGACUCACAGACUUGUUGCCAGGAAGGACAAAAUCCAAGAUCUUCAAUAGCAAAAAUUCAAGCUGUGUGCUACCUACUGCGGGAGCUUAUCUCAAGCUCAAAAGGAGAGUGGCUGAAAUACUGGCAGAUUGGAAGUGAGGGCACAUCUGAACUACAGACUACAGUAUCGUGCAGAGCUGUCGGAGAAGCUGGCAACUGAGAACACUCCAGCCACAGCAG